GAGUUUGAUCAUGGCUCAGAUUGAACGCUGGCGGCACGCCUAACACAUGCAAGUCGAGCGGCAGCGCGAUCAGUAGCAAUACUGAUUGGCGGCGAGCGGCGGACGGGUGAGGAACACGUAGGAACUUGCCUAUCAGAGGGGGAUAACCAGUGGAAACGCUGGCUAAUACCGCAUAAAGUCUUCGGACCAAAGCUGCCGCAAGGUGGCGCUGAUAGAGAGGCCUGCGUCCGAUUAGCUAGUUGGUAAGGUAAAGGCUUACCAAGGCGAGGAUCGGUAACUGGUCUGAGAGGACGGCCAGUCACACUGGGACUGAGACACGGCCCAGACUCCUACGGGAGGCAGCAGUGGGGAAUCUUGGACAAUGGGGGCAACCCUGAUCCAGCGAUG
rnacentral:rRNA from 1 species